AACACUUCUGGUUCAAGACAGCUUCUCCAGAUCAGCCCACAGUGAUUCGUGGCUUACCAAAACACAAACGUAAAGGCAGCAAGGGCAGCGCAGGAGAAAAGGAAAAGAUGCUGGUGCAGCAAGAAUGAAACUGUAACAUUUGUCUUCUCACGUCCCUGAAAGCUGCGGGAACCCCAAGUUUCUAAAGGACCUGGUGAGCGAAAAGCAUGGCAGGAGCUGUGUGAGAGAGAGCGCUACUUGUGGGGGCCGGGAGGAAUGGAGGUGUCCACAUCUGAGACCUGGUGAGUGGUGAGGAAGCCAGGAGGCUCUGCUGUGGAGGCCAUAGGGGAAGCUAGCUGCAGAAGACCAUAACUUCAAUCUGGAAACUGAAGUGAACACAGGAAGGGGUUUGGCCCAACAAGGGGAAGUUCAGCUUCUGUGUGCUGCCAGUGACGUUGCUUAGACAUUGUUUUCUGAUUGUAAGAGUGAGUUGUGUGUUGUAUUCACAGAAAGGGGUGGACAUCCCCCCAAAUCAUCUUGUAAGAACUCUGAAUUUUAGCUGGUUACAUGUCUGUCCAGGCAAAGACUGCAUUUCCCAGACUCCCUUUCAGCUAACGUGGCCACGUAAUUAAAUUAUGGCUUUGGUCGUGAUGUUUGCAAACUCCCAGAUACCAACUCAACAACUCAAAUGUGAGUGCUGUUCCUGUUUUGGUCAGUCAACACAGUAUCUUACCAGGAUACCAUAUGAUGGAAGGAAUAGAAAUUAACGUCCUUUCCUGUGAGUUAACCCUUGCAUUAUCCCCUCUUCUUUUUUAGGGCUCUGCCCUGUCCUGCCCCACAUUAUACUUUAUUCCCGUAUAAAAACCAAAGGUCAAGGCAAGAUCUGGAUUGAAAUUACAUUUAUUUAUCUAUACAAUGGGAUUUCUGCCAACAAUUAAAACCUUGAUUUUCUAUGCUGCUGAUGCUUUGUUUUAGGGCAGAGUAAUUUUCAGAUAGGUUUGUAUUAUAUAUACACGUAGCUAUAUAUGAUGCAUUCAUCCACCCAUCCAUCCAUCCAUUCUUUUCUGGAGUAAUUUGGCCAUGUAGUGUGUACAGGGAACUAUUCAAAUAAAAUAAGAACCAAUAUAUGAUAAGAGAUAUCAAAUGGGUUACAAUUCAUUGAUUCAUAUUCACAGAUAGAUGAACAGAACAAAUGAAACACAACUUAAUCUUAAAAUUCCUUAAAAUAAAUAGAAAUUAAAAAUCCAACAUAAACCAUUGUUAUGAAUGACUUACCAUUUGGAAUUUCCUCUAUUUCUAUAAAUGUAAUGAUUGAUGCUUUUGUAGCAUAAAAACCAUAGCCUAUGUGAAAUAUAUUGAUACAUUAUUAACUAGCAUAGGCUCUGUUUCUCUUUUUGUACCUGAAUUCAGUGUAGACAUGUAAAUGUCUGAUUGUCUGGCUGGAAACAACUGAAGUUGCAUAAAGGAUUUGCCAUUUUUAUCAUGGCACUAACUAGAUUUCAGAAGGUUUUUUCUACUUAUCUGGUUCUGGAGGUAACAUACUGCAUAUAUCAUUUGUGAACUAUAGGUACAUGUGGGUUAUCUAGGAAAGGGUAAGGAUUCUAAAACCAAGAACAUGUUCUCAGUUACAAUCUCUUUUUUUACUUACGUAUAAUCAGAAACAGGUGUAACUUUUCUUAAAGGAACAAUAACAGCUCACUCCCCUAUGCUAAAUACUAAAAAUCGCAAA